UACGUAGGGGGCAAGCGUUGUCCGGAUUUAUUGGGCGUAAAGAGCUCGUAGGCGGCUUGUCACGUCGGGUGUGAAAGCCCGGGGCUUAACCCCGGGUCUGCAUUCGAUACGGGCUAGCUAGAGUGUGGUAGGGGAGAUCGGAAUUCCUGGUGUAGCGGUGAAAUGCGCAGAUAUCGGGAGGAACACCGGUGGCGAAGGCGGAUCUCUGGGCCAUUACUGACGCUGAGGAGCGAAAGCGUGGGGAGCGAACAGG
rnacentral:rRNA from 1 species